CACGGGGGGAGCAAGCGUUGUUCGGAUUCAUUGGGCGUAAAGAGCUCGUAGGCGGCUCUGUAAGUCGGGGGUGAAAGACCACGGCUCAACCGUGGAAACGCCUUCGAUACUGUGGAGCUUGAGGCCGGGAGAGGAAAGCGGAAUUCCUGGUGUAGCGGUGAAAUGCGUAGAUAUCAGGAGGAACACCAGUGGCGAAGGCGGCUUUCUGGACCGGUUCUGACGCUGAGGAGCGAAAGCCAGGGGAGCAAACAGG
rnacentral:rRNA from 1 species